rnacentral:rRNA from 1 species
UACAGAGGGUGCAAACGUUGUUCGGAAUUACUGGGCGUAAAGCGCGUGCAGGCGGCCUUGCAAGUCGGACGUGAAAUCCCACGGCUCAACCGUGGAAGUGCAUUCGAAACUGCGAGGCUGGAGCCUGGAGAGGAGACUGGAAUUCAUGGUGUAGCAGUGAAAUGCGUAGAGAUCAUGAGGAAGACCAGUGGCGAAGGCGGGUCUCUGGACAGUUCCUGACACUGAGGCACGAAGGCCAGGGGAGCAAACGGG